GACGAACGCUGGCGGCGUGCUUAACACAUGCAAGUCGAACGGAAAGGCCCUGCUUUUGUGGGGUGCUCGAGUGGCGAAAGGGUGAGUAACACGUGAGUAACCUGCCCUUGACUUUGGGAGAACUUCAGGAAACUGGGGCUAAUACCGGAUAGGAGCUCCUGCUGAAUGGUGGGGGGGGGAAAGGUUCGGCGGUUGGGGAUGGACUCGCGGCUUAUCAGCUUGUUGGUGGGGUAGUGGCUUACCAAGGCUUUGACGGGUAGCCGGCCUGAGAGGGUGACCGGCCACAUUGGGACUGAGAUACGGCCCAGACUCCUACGGGAGGCAGCAGUGGGGAAUAUUGCACAAUGGGCGGAAGCCUGAUGCAGCAACGCCGCGUGCGGGAUGACGGCCUUCGGGUUGUAAACCGCUUUCGCCUGUGACGAAGCGUGAGUGACGGUAAUGGGUAAAGAAGCACCGGCUAACUACGUG
rnacentral:rRNA from 1 species